ACAGAUUCCACAGUCUCACUGGCCACAAGUCCCCUUCUUUCUACCUUCCUUUCAGCUUGUAGGAUACAUGCUCCUAGACUAUAGAGAUGGGUGCAACAGAAAAUCUUAAGACAGAAAGAUAAAAGUGUUGCCUGUUGUUCUGUCCUGAUAUACAUGUUAUCCUGUUUUCUGUCUGAGCUAGUCUGACUACCAGGGCUGGCUCCAGGCACCAGCUUAUCAAGCAGGUGCUUGGGGCAGCAACUCUGGAGCGGGGCGGCACUUUCAGAACAGAAUAAUAGGGGUCAAUUUAAGAAAAGUCUGGAAGUAGCUUCAGAAGAGAGUAGGGAGAAGGAAUAACUUCGAUUAAAGAAGAACUUCCAGCUGGUUGGUUUCCCCUUUCACUAAAGACAACUGCCUGCAGCUACAAAUGUGGAAUGCAAUAGCAGAUUGUACUUCUCCAGACCUGAAAUGGAUGAGACGAACUAAGCCACUGCGGCUGAUAUUUCUGCAUGACUGUUCAGCCUGCAACAAAAAGCUAUUUAUUUUGAACCUGAAAAUCUAUGAGUUCAAAUGAAGAUCACUAUAAAAGAGGUGACCCACAAGAUACGAAAAUUGCCUCUUCUCCAUUCUAUUAGCUGCUGAAGGCCUCCAGCUUCGUAGGUUUCUGGAUGACAGUGAGCUACAGUAGAAUAAGAGUAAAACUGACCUUCCUUUAGGUGCAUGCCAUAUUUUUUGAUUGUCUUAUUGAAUCAACACUCUGUGCCAAAAGAAGCAUUGCAAAUCUUAAAUUAUGUGACACUGGGGCUCCUAGAGCUACUGGAGUCUUAUCAAGGACCCACAUCCAAUAUCUAAAUAAAAGAGAG